GCACACGCAGCUGCUCGAGCACGCCGCGCGGGCGCUGCUAAGCGCCGCCCAGGCCAUUCAGCCCGCAUCCAGCGAAGGAACUUCAGGGGCGGCUGCAGCUUCGGGAACGGGGCUUCCACCUGAGAGCUGGAUAACCGUGUCGGGCGUAGCAACCACAUUUGCCCACGCGCUUUCGUGCCUGGUGGGCACAGACCUGCGCACUACCGCGCUGUGCCCACGACCCCGCGAACGGGACGCAUCUGUGGAGGUGUCGCAGAAUUCGAGGCAGCUACAACUGCUGGAGCAGCUGCGGCCGCUGCUGGCCAGCCGCUGCGUGCAGCUCUGCACGGGAUGGGCGGGCCUGUGUGCGGCCAUUACCGUACGGCAGCGGGCAGCGGACGACAGCGCUCAGCAGGGCUUGGUACCAACUGCGUCGCAGCUGUGGCACGGGCUGCCGUCGGAGCUGAUACGGCCGCUGCAGCUGCCGCCGCAGGCCACUGUGUCAAGCCAGGAUAUGGUGCGCACAGCGACCCUGGUACGUAUACGGUACUCGACCGCCGAUGCGCAAGAUGGGCUGCUGCGUUAGUUGACGGGGAGCUUGACGGGGAUAUAAGUGCAUGAACUGCAAUGCUCCCGGCGGGGCUCUCCGGUAUACAAUCUAGUGUUGGCAUUACAGGAACUUAGCGUUGACAUUAGCUCGCCAUUUGCUCGCCGCCUUGCAGGCACUGCCUAUGGUCCUGCAGGUGACGGUCAGCGGCCCCUGCGACCUGGCCAUCGCCCAGCCGCCCGUGGGCUACGACCGCCUGCCGCACAGGCAGCCACAGCCGCAGCGACCAUCGGCGGGGCCAUCAGCAGCGGGGUCAGCAGCAGCGGAGGGGCCGGCUGCAGCACCAGCACCAGCUUCGUACAGCGCCGUAAACGCGUACGGGCUGCUUAAGGCAUUAUGGCACUGCCUGGCCUGUGACCGCGCCACUUACACGUGCAACCUGUGCGCAGUCGCCACGGUAAUGACCCGGCUGCUGACGGAGCUGCGGCCGCGGCAGGCGGCGGUGCUGCUGCCGAGUUGGUGGCAGCUGCUGGCGCAGGAGCCGUCCAUGCUCAUUGAGGGGUACGGGCUUGCGCAGGACGCAGGGGAGCUGCUGCGGCUGCAGUUGAAUGCGCCGCCGCCGGUCGCGUGGGCUGUUGGGGUGACGGAUGCAGCUUCCGUGGCUGCGGCGAGUGUGGACUGGCCGCCGGAAGCGGCGGAGGUGCAGGACGCGGAGGCGGCGACAGCAGCGAAGGCAGCAGCCAGCCUGGCGCGUGAGAGGGACCCCAGCUACAGCCUCCGCUGCGCGCUGGACGCGGGGCUGCUGUCAGUUAUGGAACGGUGCCUUCGCGCGCCACAGGCCUGGCGGCAAUCCAACAGCGUGAGCAAGCUGCUGUACGUCGUAAACUGCGUGCUGCGCUACUCGGGCGUGUGGCCCGCGGUGCUGGCUCGCGGUCCCGUGCAGCAGGCGGUGUCGCUGAUUGCCACGCUGGGCGCAGCAGCUCGGCUGCUGCAGGAGAAGGACACGUCACUGGACGUGAUAAGCCGUGCCUCCCAGCCUGGCAUGCAAACAACGGCAAGGUGCGGCGCCGGCGGCUACCUGUGUGCCUACCUGUCCGCAAUGCUGGAGCAGGUCGUGGACGUGCGGGCGCUGGGCGAGGGCGCACAGCAGCAGCAGCAGCGGGAGGAGCAGCAGGCAGCAGCUAUCGAUGCUACGGCCACAGCCGCAAUUUCCACCCCACUGCACCUCAACUCGGUGCUGGAGCAGGUAGUGGAUUCGAAGGACGGCAGUGUCGAGCCCUCCACGUGCUCCAUCGCCUGGAUGGCGGCGGCGGGCGGCCUGCCAGCUGCCGGCUCCACAGCGUACCGGCAGCAGCAGCUGCUCACGAGCUUCGCGGUGUACCAGUGGCUGCCCAUGCUGGCAAAGGCAACGGAGGAUGCCUUGUGGAGUAGUGAGGCGGGCGCCGAGGGCUGGCUGUCGCAGGCGCUCCUGGUGGGGCACCUGGUGAUGGAUGUGCUCUGGCGCGAGGAGCGCCCGCCAGCUGAAGCCGACGAGGGCGCUGGCUCACGCAACCGACGACAGGACGCGGCGUGGUGGGAGGGCGUGACGCAGACUGGCCAGCUUGCGAAGAGCAUGCACAAUAUUAUGGACGUGCUGGCAACAGACGCCGUAAGGCCGCUGCUGCUUGAGCACUGUGAACAGUGGCAGCAGGCAGCCGUGUUGGACCUGUUGCAAUCCUAUUGGACACGCUUUGCGGGGGCGGCGCGUGUCACGAUACGUGCGUGGGCGAUACGGGCGGCCGAACAACAGCAUCAGCGGACGGAUGGAAAGCAGCAGGCUGGGCAGGCGGCGGAGGGCGGGAAGGGCAGCAGCACGAGCAGCCUUGGCGACAGCACAGCACAGCAGCGGCAGGCGCCACCGCCCGAGCUAGUGCUGCAGUGCUUGACGCCGCUGCCGAUGCAGCAGCUGGCAGCGGUGCACGGGCGGCAGGACAUGGUGGAUUACCUGGACGCAGUAGCUAAGGGUUUGAGAGGGGAAAUGAUGAUUGAGUGCGGCAGUGCCGGCGCCGGCGGAAGCGGCAUGGGGGUGCAAGGGCCUGCCAGCAUGGAGGGCGGCGCGUCGCACGCUAGCGCCACGGCGGAUAGGUUGAGGGCGAAGUGGGUUGGCGCCGUGCGGCCGCGGUACCCGUGGCUGUUGUCUCAAGGCCAGGCACAGGCGGGGCUGCAUGACCUGAUGGUCGCAGAGGCGGCGGCUGCAGCGGCAGCUACUGCUACGGGCGAGCCCUCAGUAGCCUGCGGCGGCGGUGGCAGCAGCGGGAGCAGUAGCAGGAGCAGUAGUGGGCAGGGCAGCAGCAGCGAUGGGCCGGUAUUUGAGCACAAGCUGUGCUACAACCCGCGCUGCUGCUCGCUGGACGGCCCCAGCGCGUUGGUUGCGCCCCGCGGCGGCAAGACGUGUGUGCGGUGCCGUGCUGCCACGUAUUGCUGCGGCGCUUGCCAGCUUGUGGACUGGCGUGAGCGGCACUCUGGCACCUGCAGUGGAGCCGCCGCGGCGGCGGCAGGGUCAGCAGGGACAGCGAAGGCAGCGCUGAAGAAGGCAUGAAUGCUACGGGCGAGCCCUCAGUAGCCUGCGGCGGCGGUGGCAGCAGCGGGAGCAGUAGCAGGAGCAGUAGUGGGCAGGGCAGCAGCAGCGAUGGGCCGGUAUUUGAGCACAAGCUGUGCUACAACCCGCGCUGCUGCUCGCUGGACGGCCCCAGCGCGUUGGUUGCGCCCCGCGGCGGCAAGACGUGUGUGCGGUGCCGUGCUGCCACGUAUUGCUGCGGCGCUUGCCAGCUUGUGGACUGGCGUGAGCGGCACUCUGGCACCUGCAGUGGAGCCGCCGCGGCGGCGGCAGGGUCAGCAGGGACAGCGAAGGCAGCGCUGAAGAAGGCAUGAACUGACGAAGUGCAACAGCAGUAUGGACCCGAAGACUGCGCUUCAAAUGCGGCGUUUUGCGGUUUGUAUGAGAGUGAGAGUGCGAUGCAUGGCGUGGACUCUUGGGUCGUUUGCCACGCCGAGCGUGCAGCAAGAAGCGCUCAAAAAGCCCAAUUGGCUCUGCUUUGCAUUAGCGCAUUACGGUUGAUGACCGCUGACGCGGGUGGUCCGCGCCUUCAUCGGCCGGGAUUACAGAGCGGACUCCACACCGAAUGUAUGAGUGCCAGACCUGCGAUGCUAAUCUUACUUCGCCAAGGCUAGCCUCCUCGCUCCUUUGAGGCUUGAUACCGUAUCAAGGUUUUGGGCAGGAGUAGGGGCAUCAUGAGCGGCGGCGGGGUAACAGGGUGGGGUACAGGCUGCAGUGUUGUUCGGGUUUGGGCGCGUUCUAGGCAUGUGGCACCCGUAUGUGGCAGAGCAAUUUGACUGUCCCCAACAUGUUUAUGUGCCCGCCGAGAAUGCUAAGCUGACGGUCUGAACUUCGCGGUUUUUGUAGUUGCACGACUGUAUGUCAUUAGAGUUUCGGCCAUUGUCGCAGGUGCAGGCGCAGUGCAGUAGAAUGCAGGGGCGUGGGCGAGGAGGAGAGGGCUGACGGACAACUGGAGGCCGUGAUGCGGCGGUAGAUACGGUAGGUACAGGACUGGGAGGCGCACCAAAUGCAUGACUGACUUACCAGUGCACGGCUGAACGCGAUGGCUACAUGUGCGGACUGCGGACGGGCUUGGAACAUCAGCUUAUGAAUGAGGGACGGUGCACUGUUGCCGACGCAUUCGGCCUAUCACGGCAUGCACUCACAUGGCAUCAUCUCGCUCUACACCGCCAGUCUUUGGUGCCACGGCAAGAGGUGGGGCCCCGGUGGAUGGGUGUGCAGGAGGGCGGGGUGGUUUGGCGGUAGGGAUGGGAGUGCGGAAGUGGACGACAAGGUCAAGCUUGCAGGAGGUGUUGUUUGCGGUAACAGCUGGAUGGUGGCAUGUUUUGUCGUUGUAAUAUGGGACAAGCAGCAUGAGGAUGCGUUGUCGAGGAUCAAGUUCACGAGCAUGCCAUCAGGUGAGUUGAACAAGAAAGGCCGUUAGUAAGGGCGUGCUAUGGCUGCUGCAAGUUGUUUCGGGUUAAGGAGGAGGGUGGCAUCCCUGGCCACUGGCGAUCCACCGGGUCACCUGCGCAAGGUAGGCGGUGGCGAGCUCCUUGUUGUUGGGGGGGGGCGGGUGGCACAGCCGCACAGCCGGUUUGGUGGUUGGAUGACGGUGGCAGUGCCGGGCCAGUUCCUGAUACCUUCCGUACUCGUGAUGAGCCGUGUGUGACAUCCGUACUCGUGAUGUUCGGUGUUUGUGUCAUAGCCUUGGGCAAACCUAACUGAGCAUUUACGUGGUUUCGAGUCCAACUCGGACACCUGCAAUUCAUCUGUGAUCUGUCAGCUGAGAGCACGCACAUGACGGACGCGGGUCUGCUGCACGUGGCGUACGGCUGCCCCGCCCUGCACAGCCUGCGCUUCAGCGCCACGGGCAUCGCCGAUUGGGGCGUGCGCCGACCGGUGGUGCUGGCAGGGCCUCUGCCCGGUGUUCGCGUCGUGGUCGCAGCAGCAGGGGCAGAAGGCUGGAGGGGCGGCGUUAAGGCGGCAGGCGCUGUGGGUGCCGAGGCACGGGCGGCUUGCAACCAGAUGGCAGCGCGCUGUUGGUUGGGACGUUGGGUUGCACUUGGGGGUGCGCUGGGUGAUAACUUUGUUGCAGGAACGGUGGUAGGCGCCUGGCGUGCGGUAUCCCGCGAGCAGCGGGUGCGCCGCGACGCGUUGACCACUCAGCCUGGCUGCGCACGCUAUGGUCAACUCGGCAUGGGGCCGUUCGACAGAGGCCAGCACACAUGCCGACGUGUAUCCGCUGUCCCCUCCCAGCUGUCCCUUCCAGUAGUCCCUUCCAGUUGUCCCUUCCAGCUGUCCCACACCAACUGUCCCACCCCAGCUGUCCCUUCGGCUCCCUUCUCAAAACGCAGCUUUCAGCAAAAUCUACAGCCUGCCCGACUCCCAGCGUGUGCGACCUUCCGCCCGCCUUCCAAAACGCAACAGCCCCCGCCUCUCCUCGCCAGCCGCUCACAGCCGAAACUCUGCUUCUUUCUUUAUCAGCCACAAACAUCAGCCACAAACAAGGCCUCGGAAACAACGCCUCGGAAACUUCCUCCCAACUAGUGCGCGGCCACAGCUCCCCUACCGAACGUCGCAGCACCUAUCCUCACCAUCAGCAACGCUUCCUCACCUCCGGUUGUGUUGUUGGCGUGUUGCACCGCAUUCGGCCUGCCCGCCACAAUUGUCGUACACAUUCGGGCCCCUCUUCUGCUUUGCUUCGCCUUGUUCCUGCCCCUGUUUGUCACACUGUCGCCCGGCCAUUGUUUUGCUGCACGCCGUUGCAUUACGCUAGUGCUCGUCUACACAGCUCAUCCGUGGACGCCGGUCGACUGCCUGCAGGUGCGCAUCGGCUAUGCUAUCCGCGCGGUGUGGCGUCGCAUUGAGUCUGUGUGGUGCUAUCGCCUUGGCCGGGCGCCCGGAGCGUGAGGAAUGCGCGUCAGCAAAACAUCGACACAACCUGCCAGCUACCGUCGGUACAGUAACAGCGCGCGAACGACGCACCAAUGCCUUGUCCCUUCUUGCUACGCAUUUAUGUGGGCACGGGUGGGAGCCACACACAUCGGGACUACGCUUUCCUGCCCCUUGCCAUGUUCCAUCACAUGCCGACGUGUAGCAGUUUGGACUUUAUUAAUAGGUUGCACUGUUGACGUGAGCUCAAGCUUUCCGCUUAGAAGAGUAGUUGCUAGCAGUGCUAGUGAAGCUGCGUAUACUGUAACUUUCCUGAAGUCGUCAAUUUUUUCUACGCUGCAUACGCACCCUCAUGAUAAUCCUGGUUGUCAUAGAACAUGCCACCUAGACGGGCUCGAGUCCCUGCAACUCUCGAGAGCCGCAUCAAGCAAGGUCUGCAAUACUUUGCUGGCCUGCGCGAGGACGAGGCAGCAGAUGUUGCCCGUGCAAAGGACCUGGGCGAUGCACUCCUUGAAGCUGACAUGAACAUUAUCAGCAAUACCGGGAUUUUGAGCGGCAUCGUGGCUGCGCAUGCCUGGGCCGCGCGUGCGCUUGCCGUUGACGUUCUGAACGACUCGGCUUACGUCGCUUUUGUAGCGACCGCAACUAAUCUAGGAGAACUGCUCAGCAGCCAGCCGGGCGACCAAGCUUACGGCAGGCAGGACCGGUUGGUCCGAGCCCUGCUGAGGGCGGACACGCUCGCCGUGCACGCGAGGCUGUGUGUACGGACGCUCGCGCCCACCCGCGGGGCCGCCGCCCGCCGCAGCCUCCGGCCACCGGAUGCAAUCAAGCGGGAUCUGGUAUGGCGUGUCCUCCAGAACCUCUCCACGAUUGCCCGAUUUGUGAACAACAGCCGGGAUGCUGGCCUCAAGCACGAGCUGGUGACGGCGCUGGCGCACACGCAGCUGCUCGAGCACGCCGCGCGGGCGCUGCUAAGCGCCGCCCAGGCCAUUCAGCCCGCAUCCAGCGAAGGAACUUCAGGGGCGGCUGCAGCUUCGGGAACGGGGCUUCCACCUGAGAGCUGGAUAACCGUGUCGGGCGUAGCAACCACAUUUGCCCACGCGCUUUCGUGCCUGGUGGGCACAGACCUGCGCACUACCGCGCUGUGCCCACGACCCCGCGAACGGGACGCAUCUGUGGAGGUGUCGCAGAAUUCGAGGCAGCUACAACUGCUGGAGCAGCUGCGG
rnacentral:lncRNA from 1 species